AUACGUAGGUGGCAAGCGUUGUCCGGAAUUAUUGGGCGUAAAGCGCGCGCAGGCGGACCUUUAAGUCUGAUGUGAAAGCCCACGGCUAAACCGUGGAGGGUCAUUGGAAAAUGGGGGACUUUAGUGCAGAAGAGGAAAGUGGAAUUCCAAGUGUAGCGGUGAAAAGCGUAGAGAUUUGGAGGAACACCAGUGGCGAAGGCGACUUUCUGGUCUGUAACUGACGCUGAGGCGCGAAAGCGUGGGGAGCAAACAGGAUUAGAUACCCUGGUAGUCCACGCCGUAAACGAUGAGUGCUAAGUGUUAGGGGGUUUCCGCCCCUUAGUGCUGCAGCUAACGCAUUAAGCACUCCGCCUGGGGAGUACGGUCGCAAGACUGAAACUCAAAUGAAUUGACGGGG
rnacentral:rRNA from 1 species